rnacentral:lncRNA from 1 species
UUGGUGUCUUUCUGUCUGUUGGUUCCUUACAUUUAGUUUGACAAAUUGCACAUUGUUGAACAUCUAAUUACACUUAGUACACGAAAUUUAACUUUUGUGUGCUAAAUCAAUCUAUUUGUUCAUUUUGGUCAGUUUGCAUCUAGUGUUGUUUCCUAUCUUUUCUUCUUAGGUCUUUCCUUGCUUUCCUUAUUAUUUAAAUCAUACAAGCUUGGCUUAUUGAGUCUUUAUUCUGAAGUGCACUUUUGAGAUACCAAGUGAGUGCUUGAAAAUUAAACACGUGAGUUGAGAGAAUUGUGAAUUUUUUUUUCUAUAAUGUCUGGGCAUAAUACUGGUGAUACUUCUGACCCUACAUUUGAUCUUAAAGAUAUAUAUAAAGCUUUCAUGGAUAGCUUUCAGAAGCUAAAUUCAAGAAUGGAUAACCUUGAGGACAACCUUAGAUCUUCAAAGGGCAAGUCCAUUCAGAGGGAUGAUGAUACACACGAUCCAUCCUAUGA